GAUGAACGCUGACAGAAUGCUUAACACAUGCAAGUCAACUUGAACUUCGGUUUGGGUGGCGGACGGGUGAGUAACGCGUAAAGAACUUGCCUCACAGUUAGGGACAACAUUUGGAAACGAAUGCUAAUACCGGGUAUUAUGAUUUUAGGGCAUCCUAGAAUUAUGAAAGCUAUAUGCGCUGUGAGAGAGCUUUGCGUCCCAUUAGCUAGUUGGAGAGGUAACGGCUCACCAAGGCGAUGAUGGGUAGCCGGCCUGAGAGGGUGAACGGCCACAAGGGGACUGAGACACGGCCCUUACUCCUACGGGAGGCAGCAGUGGGGAAUAUUGGACAAUGGACCAAGAGUCUGAUCCAGCAAUUCUGUGUGCACGAUGAAGUUUUUCGGAAUGUAAAGUGCUUUCAGUUGGGAAGAAAAAAAUGACGGUACCAACAGAAGAAGUGACGGCUAAAUACGUG
rnacentral:rRNA from 1 species